rnacentral:rRNA from 1 species
AGUGAACGCUGGCGGUAGGCCUAACACAUGCAAGUCGAACGGCAGCACAGUAAGAGCUUGCUCUUACGGGUGGCGAGUGGCGGACGGGUGAGGAAUACAUCGGAAUCUACUUUUUCGUGGGGGAUAACGUAGGGAAACUUACGCUAAUACCGCAUACGACCUACGGGUGAAAGCAGGGGAUCUUCGGACCUUGCGCGAUUGAAUGAGCCGAUGUCGGAUUAGCUAGUUGGCGGGGUAAAGGCCCACCAAGGCGACGAUCCGUAGCUGGUCUGAGAGGAUGAUCCGCCACCCUGGAACUGAGACAAGGUCCAGGCUCCUAAGGGAAGGCGCAGUUGGGAAUAUUUGACCAUGGGGGGCAGCCUGAUCCAGCCAUACCGGGUGGGUGAAGAAGGCCUUCGGGUUGUAAAGCCCUUUUGUUGGGAAAGAAAAGCAGCAGGUUAAUACCCCGCUGUUCUGACGGUACCCAAAGAAUAAGCACCGGCUAACUUCGUG